rnacentral:lncRNA from 1 species
CAGCUAUGAAUUCUGCAAAUGAAACGAGAGGGGACAAACACGACAAAGAGGCAGCAUGACCAGGCCACUGUGAGUCCUAUAUUUCAACAAGAAGCCAAUCCCUGAGCCUCCUGGGCCAUACACUGUCCCACUAUUUCAAAAGAAACUCAGUGACGAGAGGGCAGAGGGAGAGUAUGUCCAGCAUCUCAGCCUCAUUGUUUUCCACUUGGCAGCCCCCUC